rnacentral:lncRNA from 1 species
UUCAAUAAAUGUUUUUCAAGUACCUCUCUAUUUUCUAUAUACAAACAAAACCUAGCUAAAAACAUUCAAUUAAAAUAAUAUACAAACUUAAAUUGAAAAGUACAACAUUAUCUUCAUAAGAGGUGAUCUUUGUUUCUGCAUCAGUGUCUUCUUCUUGAUGUAUUUCUUAGAUACCUAGUAGAAUAAACACAAAAUUAAUAUAAAAUUAAGUAACAAAUACCAAAAAAUUAAAAGAUUUUUUCAUAGGACAGUAAAUAUACUAACCUUCAAUAUCACAAAAAUAAAAUAAAUACACCUAUUGACCUUUAAUAUCAUCAGUUGUAAUUGAAUUGAUUUUGUGAUUCUAGAUUCAAUGUAAAACACGGUGGAUAUUCAAACUCACAUAUCCUCUAGGAUGAAGCCUCAUCCAUACUUAUCUCUUGCUUGAAGCCUAAUCAAUGGUGAAGCAUGACCUCAACAAUCCUAAGGUUCAACAAAACUCCAUGGCUCUCAAAGAACCAAGCUGCUUAUGUGUGCCUGAUACUCUUAUUAUUGGGCUAAACCAAAUGAACACAAGGCCCAAGUAAUAAAAUAUUUUAACAUCAAACCCAUGCACCAAAUAUUUGAAGCCCAAUCAAAAAGCAAAUGAGACCCAAGCCCAUAUAAAAAUUAAAUUAAAACCAUCUCAACAAGUACUGUAGAGAUCCAAGGAAACUUACCUACGUCUCUUGAAGCCCUAAGAUGAAGAACGAAGUGGCAACCAUGGAGAUGGUGGUGUUGAUGUCAGUCCAACAAAAUUCAAUGGGUAGUGCAGGAGGUACCAAGGCUGUGGGCUGCAACAAUGGUGGCUAUGAUGGUGAUGGAACAUCAAGAAUCACAUCGGGGUUAUGGCGAAACAUCGGGAAGCACGUUUGAGUCGUAGUGAACAUGGGAACAAUAGCCAUGGGGGAAUAUAAAGAUGGUGGCAUGGUGGGUGUGGGACUCAUGGAUGGUAACAACACAGGAGAUGGAGGUGGUGGCGUAGAGGCUGCCAUGAAUAUGAGGAUGAGAGGAUGAAAAAAGAAAGAAGAAAGAAGAAGAAAGAAGAAAAAAAAUAGGAAAAUAAGAGAAAAAGGAAGAUGGGGAAGAUGGGGCGGCUGUAAGUGGAAGGAAA